GAUCAGAUACCGUCGUAGUCUUAACCAUAAACGAUGCCGACCAGGNAUCAGGGACUGUUACAUGGAUGACGUCCCUGGCACCUUACGAGAAAUCAUAAGUCUUUGGGUUCUGGGGGGAGUAUGGUCGCAAGGCUGAAACUUAAAGGAAUUGACGGAAGGGCACCACCAGGAGUGGAACCUGCGGCUUAAUUUGACUCAACACGGGAAAACUUACCAGGUCCAGACAUAGGGAGGAUUGACAGAUUGAGAGCUCUUUCUUGAUUCUAUGGUUGGUGGUGCAUGGCCGUUCUUAGUUGGUGGAGUGAUUUGUCUGGUUGAUUCCGUUAACGAACGAGACCUCAGCCUGCUAAAUAGUUAUGCGAAUCUCUCACUCAAGGUUAGCGGACGGGUGUGGCUUGGGCCUUUGCCUCGGCAGGGGAUUCUCCAUGGCUGCAUGUCUGGAAGCGCCUGAAUAGAUUCGCAGAGCAACUUCUUAGAGGGACUAAUGGUGUUUAGCCAUUGGAAGUUUGAGGCAAUAACAGGUCUGUGAUGCCCUUCGAUGUCCUGGGCUGCACGCGCGUUACACUGAUUGGAUCACCGAGUACACACCUUGGCCGGGAGGUCUGGGUAAUCUUGGAAAACCCAAUCGUGCUGGGGAUAGAUUAUUGUAAUUAUUAAUCUUCAACGAGGAAUUCCUAGUAAGCGUGAGUCAACAGCUCGCGUUGAUUACGUCCCUGCCCUUUGUACACACCGCCCGUC
rnacentral:rRNA from 1 species